rnacentral:rRNA from 1 species
UACGAAGGGGGCUAGCGUUGCUCGGAAUCACUGGGCGUAAAGGGUGCGUAGGCGGGUUUUUAAGUCAGAGGUGAAAUCCUGGAGCUCAACUCCAGAACUGCCUUUGAUACUGAAAGUCUUGAGUAUGGGAGAGGUGAGUGGAACUGCGAGUGUAGAGGUGAAAUUCGUAGAUAUUCGGAGGAACACCAGUGGCGAAGGCGGCUUACUGGUCCAUUACUGACGCUGAGGUGCGAAAGCGUGGGGAGCAAACAGG